AUGGGCACCACCUUCCACUGCUACAUUUGGGGCGCUUGGGCUCCGCCGAAGGUGAAAUUCUUUGCUUGGCUUGCAACCCGUAAUAUGAUUUGGACGGCUGACAGACUCGCUAGGAGGGGUUGGCAAAAUUGUGGACUGUGUCCGCUUUGCCAGCGUGUGCAAGAAAAUGGAGCCCAUCUUUUCUACAAGUGUCGCUUCACCCUUAGGAUUUGGAACCUCAUCAAAAAUUGGCUUGGUCUCCAUAUGAUUGACAUGUCAACUUGGGACAAUUUGCACUCUCUCUCGCUUUGGUGGAGAAACAUGUCUGGAAGCAACAUCCCCAAUAGAAAGGCCAUGGCAUCCCUCACUAUGCUAGUUGGGUGGACCAUUUGGAAUGAGAGAAACGCUCGUAUAUUCAGGCACAAGUCAACACCUGCGCCGGUCAUCUUCGACACCAUCAAAAGAGAAGCUAGACUUUGGGUUACUGCGGGUGCACACAAAUUGGGUAGCAUAAUGCCGGGAGAGUAA
rnacentral:rRNA from 1 species